rnacentral:lncRNA from 1 species
CGGGAAGCAAAAGCCUCCUAGAGGCUAACCGUUUUUUCAACAGAGCCUAACCGUUUGUCAGCUGAAGCUCUGCCUGCUUUAAGGUAAGCCUUCUCUGGGGAAGAAAGGCUUUUUCCCCAGUGAUCUAAUCCCUGUUCCAGCUGCCUGCUGAGGUCAAAGCUGUGCUCACAGCGGUUAGGUCAAGGCCAGCCCCAGAGGCCCUUGUACUCAGGCAUUUGCCAGUUAAAAUCCUGCUGAACAACUCUGGUUAUCACAAACCACCCAGGUCAAGAAUCCACUUGACCCACAAUUACUUUUAAGCCCAGAGCCCCGUCUGCACCAGAAAUUGGAUCUCUACCUGUUAUUUUAGCCCACCCAAAUGUCAGCCCUUGUAUCUGCCUCUCAAAAUUUUCUGAGGAGAAAAUUUAAAUGAACAUUUUGGAGUUUGGUGGGAUGAUCAUUAAUUAUACUUGUCCACUAAGAAGCAGAUGCAUGAAUCCAGAAACCAGAGCUCCAAAGAAUUAGCAUUAGAGACCGUGGCUUAGUUGUACACAUAUCUCCCUCUGGAUCAAGUUCAUUUACCCAGUCGCAGGCUGUUUUUACUGCAAGCCUUUUCCAUAGGGACAGGCUCCCAUGGUGGAGGAGGAGAUCAUGAGUGUCCAAGGGUCAGGCUACAGCAAAAAGAAAAAGGAGAAAGAGAGAGACAUCAGGCUGAGCAUCUUCUCCCAAGCCCACCAGCCAAUCACUCCUCAUUUUAUGGAGAGACAAAAGAAAGAGGUCAGAAAUUCCCUUCAGUGGUUUUUCUGUUGAAAAGUGAAAGUUCCUUCUCCUCUACGUAAAUUAGAAGAGAAUAAGCUCCCUUCUAAUAGUUGCCUUUGGUUUGGGAACUUAUUCUUGGUUCAAUAAUGGUAGCCAUGGUACCUAGGUCACAUGAUGUGUUUGUCAGGAUUCGUCGCUUUGCAAGCCAAAACAGAAGAGGCUUAAGCACAAUAGGGAACUCAUAUGAUUCAGAGACUGAUCUUUGCUCAGGCAAAGCUGAAUAUAGGGGUUUGAAUGGUGUCACCAGGCCUCUGCGUCUUACCAUCUCUAGACUCUUCUGCUCUCCAUAUUGACUGUUUUCUGGUAGAUUCUUACCAAGAAAUAGCAAAGACCACCAGCAGGGGUCCCAAGCUUGCAUUCUACCAAUCUUAGGAACCCUGGUGAGAAUUUCUCCUUCCUAAUACUUUCAGCAAAAUCUCAUAGCCAGGAGUGGCACCCGCCUGUAAUCCCAGACACUUGGGAGGCUGAGGCCAGUGGCUGAGGAUCUACUUCAGAGAUAGAGAAAAAAAAAAAAAAUCUCAUACUUGGGUUUUAUUGGUCUGUCUUGGGUCAUGUGCUUUCUCUCUGGGCCAAUCACUAUGACCAGGAGAAUCAGAUGCAAUUGACCAGGCUAGGGUCAGGGGUCCACCACUCUUGGUGCCUUAGCCCAGUUCCACCCAAACCUUGUGUUUUGGGGAAGGGUAGAUUAUGUCUUCAAGGAAAAUCAAAAUAUUAUAAUCAGAGAUUCAGGGGAGUGAAUUCUGGGUGGAGAAAAUAUGAACAUCACACAAGAUGAAAGAAUCAUCUACGUCUAGUUCUUCCAAAGGGUUUUGCAGGGUGCCAUUACAAGGCUCAGGAACACCUGCAGUUGAGCCCAGCCCUGGCUUCCUAUGGGAUGCACUUCCGCCCCCUUGGCUGUAAAUAAGUUGCUUGUUUGGUGUGAUCACUAAGGUUCUUUUAUCCAAUAGCAUUGCUUAUUUAGCACCUGUUAUAUGGCAGGCACUGUUCUGGACAGUGAGAAUUGCCAUUUCUUCCUUUUGGAAUAGUUAUAUUCCCUUUCAGAGGUAAAGUAGUAUAACGAAUAAAAUGGACAAUAGUCCCUGAUCUCAUGAAACUUGCAUUUUAGUCAGCAUCAGAGAAAAUAAGAAAAUGCUAUGUUAUGAAGAAAAAUGCAGACAGGACUGUGGGGGUGGUUUCAGUAGGUAAUCAGAAAAGAUGGCAUCGGCAAAGCACAGGGAAGCCCUCAGCCUGUAACAUCUACUGAUCUCUCAUUACCCUUAUCAUCACUGCUGUUAUCUGGCAUAAUAAAAGCAUUUGGUGACCCAUUGGAGUCUCCAGCAUUAAACACCCUCAGCUUGAUGUAUAAGAUCCUCUACUGUGUCUUUUUAAUUAAGAUAGAAUUCAUAUACCAUUAUAUUCACCCUUUUAAAGUAUACAGUUCUAUGGUUACUGCUAUAUUGACAAGGUUAUGCAACCAUUACCACUAUUUAAUUCCAGAACAUGUUCAUCACUGCAAAAAGAAACCCUGUACCUGUUAGUGGUCACUCCCCAUGGCCCCUGGCAAACACUAAUCUGCUCUCCGCCUGUUUGGAUGUGUCUAUUUUGGACAUUUCAUGAAAUGCAACCAUAUGAUAUCGGCCUUUGGUGUCUGGCUUCUUUCACUUAGCAUGUUGACUUUGAGGUUCGUCCAUGUUAUCACAUGUAUUAGUACUUCAUCCCUUUUUAUGACCAAAUAAAUCCUAACCUCCUACUUCCAUUUUCCAUUAUUCCUCUUUCUGAUCCUAGGAUGGAGCUGCACUGAACUGCCUGCCCUUCUCCUAUCCCACUCCACAUUUCUGAAUUUACAUUGUUUCCUUCUAGAAUGCUUAGGCCCCUGUCUGAGACCUCUGGAUGUCCAUUAAGGUCUCUCACAAAUGUUUCCUCUUGAUGAAGUGCCCCCAGUGUUCUCUACCCACCAUGGACUCCUUUCCAAAUACCUCUUUUAUUUCCACUGGUGGCACUUAUUUUUUUCUCUACAUUUACUUAAUUUGAACCCUCCUACUAUCCCAACUACACUAUAGCUGCCACAGAGUCACCAAUGGUUAUUUUAUCCUUAGCCAAAUGCCUAAAACAUAGCAAGAGAUUCAGAAGUAUUUUUCCACUUGCCUAGCAUUGCCAUAACACGAUGGUUCUGAACCAGGGGCAACUUUGUCUCUCAGGAAUCUGGCAACAUCUGAAGACAGUUGUGGCUGUUCCAGGGGAGUGAGUAUGGGAGAGGAGGGUGCUACUGGCAUCUAGUGGGUACAGGGCAGGGAUGCUGCUAAGCCCCCUCCAAGGGCACAGGAUGCCUCCCCACAACAAAGACUUAUUCUGCCCCAAAUGUCAAUAGUGUCAAAGUUGAGAAGCCUUUUCAUAGACGAAUCCUUUUGAUUAGGUUAGCAAAAAACUCAGAAGAGAUCAGUGUAUUAAUGUGGCAGAAAAUUCAUGCUUUUUUUUCCUUUUCUUUUUUAGGAACUGAGGUUGUGGUGACCCCAGUGCAAACCUCUUUCCUAAUGCCAUAGAGGUGUCCUGGGAGCACAGAUGGUAUUUUUUUGCACUUGCUCUCCUCUGAGAGUGGCAGCUGACCUCCCAGGAAUCCUUGAAGUGCUAGGAAUGUAACUCCGUUAAGGAAGAAAACUCAGGGCUUCUGAAGUCCAGCAAAAUGUCAAACAUGGAUCGUGCUCCCAGGCGAGGGCAGAAGAGGUAUUUUUUUUUUUAAAGUCCCCUCUCCUGGCCGCCGCACCCUGUUGAAACUUCAGAGCUGACCCUGUAAUCAAUGAUUCAGGGGAACCUGACGCCCUGUCUCCUCUCCUUUCCAAAAAAGAGCAAGGAAGAUUUCAGAGAGGAUUCUGUUUGCCACUUGCUUCGGUGAGCAACCCAUUAGCAAGAAUCUCAUUUGCCAGAAACUCAAGGCACUCAGAUCACUUGACUGAAAACAGCAGCCCCAUCAGAGCCGAGGUUACCGGUUUACAGUCACAUCUUAUGUUCCUACUCAUCCAAUCCGAACGGUUCUUGUGACUGACAUGGAAAUUGGGUAAUAUAUGCCCUAAAAACUAAAGGUCUGGAGGAGUUUGACAAGGCAAGGAAUAGGGGUUGACCCAUUAUUUAAGAAAAAAUUGUCCUUGGGGUAGAAUUACCUGACAGGCCUGCUGGGACUUUUUGGUGGUGUGCAUGCUUCAAAGGACAACCUUUAGUGCAGCUGGCAGAGACAGAAAUACCUCAGCAGAGAAAUCCAAGAGGUGCCCGCCCACCCCCCUCAGCUGUUUUGGGCACUCUCCAAUUCUUGUGCCAUAAAAAAUUGCAAGGUGUGAUUACAUUAUUGGAAUUGGUAUGCCUUUUAUCUGGUAAAUUAACUUUUUUUUUUUUUUUUUGGUCUAUACGUUUGACAAAAUCCCACUCACUGUGUGGAGUGAUUUACUCAGUUCAAUUUUUUAAAAAACAAGAACAUAUAGAGUACUUGGCACCCUGUGAGCUGCAAAAGUGUUUAAUGAUGACAGUAAUUAGGAUAACAGAAUAAUGCGUGUUGAGUGGAUGGUUGGCAGGACUGUAGGUAUAUUUAAAAAGUAUAAAAAGGAAUAAUUUAAAGAACUCAGAUGGGAAUCCCUAAAGUAACUGCAUUCCUGUCAAAAGCAACUGGAAAAGGACCAAUGUUCCUGGGUGAUAUAUAUUUAUAUUUGAAUUAAACUAAAAAUUAUUUCAAAUUAGAUAAUUUGCCCCAAAGUUCAAUUUUCUUUUAUUUAAUCAUUCUGUU